rnacentral:rRNA from 1 species
UACGGAGGGUGCAAGCGUUAUCCGGAAUUAUUGGGUUUAAAGGGUCCGUAGGCGGAUUAAUAAGUCAGUGGUGAAAUCCUAUAGCUUAACUAUAGAACUGCCACAGAUACUGUUAGUCUUGAGUUGUAUUGAAGUAGAUAGAAUGUGUAGUGUAGCGGUGAAAUGCAUAGAUAUUACACGGAAUACCGAUUGCGAAGGCAGUCUACUAAAUACACACUGACGCUGAUGGACGAAAGCGU